AGAGUUUGAUCCUGGCUCAGAUUGAACGCUGGCGGCAGGCCUAACACAUGCAAGUCGAACGGUAACAGGAAGAAGCUUGCUUCUUUGCUGACGAGUGGCGGACGGGUGAGUAAUGUCUGGGAAACUGCCUGAUGGAGGGGGAUAACUACUGGAAACGGUAGCUAAUACCGCAUAACGUCGCAAGACCAAAGAGGGGGACCUUCGGGCCUCUUGCCAUCGGAUGUGCCCAGAUGGGAUUAGCUAGUAGGUGGGGUAACGGCUCACCUAGGCGACGAUCCCUAGCUGGUCUGAGAGGAUGACCAGCCACACUGGAACUGAGACACGGUCCAUACUCCUACGGGAGGCAGCAGUGGGGAAUAUUGCACAAUGGGCGCAAGCCUGAUGCAGCCAUGCCGCGUGUAUGAAGAAGGCCUUUCGGGUUGUAAAGUACUUUCAGCGGGGAGGAAGGGAGUAAAGUUAAUACCUUUGCUCAUUGACGUUACCCGCAGAAGAAGCACCGGCUAACUCCGUGCC
rnacentral:rRNA from 1 species